AUUGAACGCUGGCGGCAGGCCUAACACAUGCAAGUCGAGCGAGCGGCGGACGGGUGAGUAAUGUAUGGGGACUGCCCGAUAGAGGGGGAUAACUACUGGAAACGGUGGCUAAUACCGCAUACUAUCGGAUAACCCAUAUGGGAUUAGCUGGUAGGGGGGGUAAAGGCUCACCUAGGCGCCGAUCUCUAGCUGGUCUGAGAGGAUGAUCAGCCACACUGGGACGCAGACACGGCCCAGACUCCUACGGAGGCAGCAGUGGGGAAUAUUGCACAAUGGGCGCAGGCCGGAUGCAGCCAUGCCGCGUGUAUGAAGAAGGCCUUAGGGUUGUAAACUCCUUUCACCAUCGACGCGGUAGAUGGAGAAGAAGCACCGGCUAACUACGUGCCAGCAGCCGCGGUAAUUC
rnacentral:rRNA from 1 species